GGCAGGUUCAAGGAACCAAUAAGCCAGUAUGGCUAAAGCCUGACAAGCAGGGAGUGAGUCAAGGAAAGCCUGGAAGGACAAAAACCAGAUCAAGCAAGGCCUUGUGGGUAAUGGUGAAAAUUUUGGAUUUUAUUCUGAGAGCAACAGGAUUCCGCUGAAGAAUUUUUAACCAGAGAGUGAAGUCGAGCGGCAAGGAGUGGGCACAGCUGAGGCAGAGUGAAGGAGGAGCCCACUGGGGAAUAGAGAAGACAGGACACCAGAGACCACGGCAGUGCUUGCUGGAACCCCACAUAAAUGUUGAACUUCCAAGGACAGGAGAAGUUGACUUGAACAAUGACUUAUCCAGAACCUAUAAUGCGCAGGCACCUUACCAGGUGCUGAAGAUAAAAACCGAUGACGAGGCCAGGCACAGUGGCUCACGCCUGUGAUCUCUGCACUUUGGGAGGCCAAGGAAGGCGAAUCACCUGAGGCUGGGAGUUCAAGAGCAGUUUGCUCAACAUGGCGAAACCCCGUCUCUACUAAAAAUACAAAAAUUAGCCGGGUGUGGUGGCGCACGCCCGUAGUCCACCUACUUGGGAGACUGAGGUAGAAGAAUCGCUUGAACCCGGGACACAGAGGUUGCAGUGAGCCAAGACUGUACCACUGCACUCCAGUCUGGGCAACAGAGUGAGACUCUGCCUCAAAAACCAAAAAAAACCAUAAAACCAAUGAUGAAUAAGACACAGUCAAUGUCUGUAAAGUUUCUAAGGCAGAGGUCCCCAACCCCUGGGCCAUGGACCAGUACCGGCCUGGGACCCGUUAGGAACAGGGCCGCACAGCAGGAGGUAAGUGGUAUGCCAGUGAGCAUUAUAGCCUGAGCUCCACUUCCUGUCAGAUCAGUGGCAGCAUUAGAUUCUCAUAGGAGCAUGAACCCUAUUGUGAACUGCACACAUGAGGGAUCUAGGCUGUGCAUUCCCUAUGAGAAUCUAAUUGUCCCCCCAACCCUCCCUUUUGUGGAAAAAUUGUCUUCCAUGAAACCACUCCCUGUUGCUAAAAAUAUUGGAGACUGUUGUUCUAAGGCAUUACUCUGGACAUACUUCCCUGUUCAAAAACCUUUCACGAUCUCCCACUGAACACAGCCCAAACUGCCUGCUCUGGUACUAAGGGCACUCGGUGAGUUCUAAACCCAACAUUCAGCCUCAGCUCCAGGAGUCUCUCACACAUCCUACUAAAACACAAUUAGUCACUCAUGGUUCCCUAGGCCAAGUCUUGUCUGUUACUCAGGCUUUCCUUUCUGCCUAAAAUGAGCCCUCUGUGUUUCUCUGCUUUGCCUUUCAAAACCCUCUGAGAACAUCAGUGUCUUAAAGCCUACUCUAAUCUCCUUAUCUGGAUAUGAUUUUGCCCAAUCCGAAGACGUACAGAAUUUAUACCUUGGUAUAAAUUCUCUUUUUAGGUAUUUCUCUUUUGUUUGAUCUAUUCUUUCCAUUAGGUUAGAAGUUUCUUAAAGCUAGAGACCAUGUCUUAGUCCUCUGAAUAAAAUUAGGUAGCUGCUUUCACAAUACUUUAAUUAUAAAUUCAACUUCAAUUGAAUUCACCAGUGCCCUCUGUCACAACAGAUUAUCAAAACAUAUCACUUCUCACCUGA